AUGCCCCAAAGCUCCCCAAUUUUUUCCCAUCAAAAAAUUUUAAAAAAAAUCAUAAAGGAGUGAACUUUUAACUAAAAUACAAAAUAGCCAGUUGCCUGGAAGCAGUUUCAAACUUUGAUCUUUCUCAAGAUUUCUAUAAAAGAGUGAACUUUAAGAAGAAUUACCAAAACCCCAGUUGCCUGGAAGCAACUUUUAUUUUGGGUGUUCAAGAUUUCCAUAAAAAAAAGUGAUUUUUAAGAAGAAUUCAAGAACCCCAGUUGCCCAAGAAGCAAUUUUUACUGUGUUUUUACUAGAUUUAGCUAUGAAGAAAGGAUCUUUUGCUCCUAAUCUUAAACUUUCUCUUCCUCCUCCUGAUGAAGUUGCUCUCUCCAAAUUCCUGACUGAAUCAGGGACAUUUAAGGAUGGAGAUCUUCUGGUGAAUAGAGAUGGAGUUCGAAUCGUUUCGCAGAGUGAAGUUGCUGCUCCUUCAGUUAUACAGCCAUCAGACAACCAGUUAUGCUUAGCUGAUUUUGAAGCAGUUAAAGUUAUUGGAAAGGGAAAUGGUGGUAUUGUGCGGCUGGUUCAGCAUAAAUGGACAGGACAAUUUUUCGCUCUCAAGGUUAUUCAGAUGAAUAUUGACGAGUCCAUGCGCAAGCAUAUUGCUCAAGAACUGAGAAUUAAUCAGUCAUCCCAGUGUCCAUAUGUUGUCAUAUGCUAUCAGUCAUUCUUCGAUAAUGGUGCUAUCUCCAUAAUUUUGGAGUAUAUGGAUGGUGGCUCCUUAGCAGAUUUUCUGAAAAAGGUCAAAACAAUACCUGAACGAUAUCUUGCUAUUAUCUGCAAACAGGUUCUCAAAGGCUUGUGGUAUCUUCAUCAUGAGAAGCAUAUUAUUCACAGGGAUUUGAAACCUUCGAAUUUGCUAAUCAAUCACAGAGGUGAUGUCAAAAUCACCGACUUUGGUGUGAGUGCAGUACUGGCAAGCACGUCUGGACUGGCUAAUACCUUUGUCGGCACAUACAACUAUAUGUCUCCAGAGAGGAUUUCAGGAGGUGCCUAUGAUUACAAAAGCGACAUUUGGAGCUUGGGUUUAGUUUUGCUCGAGUGUGCAACAGGUCAUUUCCCAUAUACACCACCUGAAGGAGAUGAAGGAUGGGUCAACGUCUAUGAACUUAUGGAAACCAUAGUUGACCAACCAGCACCUUGUGCACCCCCUGACCAAUUUUCUCCACACUUUUGCUCAUUCAUAUCUGCAUGUGUCCAGAAGCACCAGAAGGACAGACUGUCUGCAAAUGAACUCAUGAGUCACCCUUUCAUCACCAUGUACGAUGACCUGGAUAUCAAUCUUGGAUCUUACUUCACUAGCGCAGGACCUCCAUUGGCAACACUCACUGAGUUAUAAUUGAAUCUUUUCAGCUGGGGUGAUUUCAGCAACAUAUUGUGACCAGCCUUGUUAUGUUUUCUACAUUGUCUUGCAAGUGAUGCUCAAUCAACCAGAAUUUUGGUCAAAUAGCUUUUCCAGUCACGGCGUUCCAAAAAUUAGAAGCCUUUUAAGAAGGCAUUGAGAAUCAAAUGAAGCAGAUGGAGCCAUUGUUGUACUUUUCAAGCCUCCGGUAGGUACUUGGGAGUGUAACUAUGACAUUUUCUACGAUGCAUUUGAUUCAAAUGGGAUAAACUCCAGAUAUCCUUUUGAUCUGACUUAUUUUUUUACAUUAAUCCUUGGUGCUGCAAGUGUUUUUGGUUUACAAUUUGACCUCUAUCUAUUAGCACAUGAAGUUAUGUAUUGUCAGUGUUGAACUGAAUGUAAAAUUAUUGAGCUCCCAUUUCUCGUAAUGAUAAAUUUAGAGACAUUUCAAUGA